GGCCGGAUAAGGCGUUUACGCCGCGUCCGGCAAUCGGCACACCAUGCCUGAUGCGAUGCUGGCGCAUCUUAUCAGGCC
rnacentral:ncRNA from 1 species